rnacentral:lncRNA from 1 species
GGAUUGGGCCGGUGCUACUCCUUCUUCUUCGGUUCUCCAAUCGGGACGAUUAAAGUGUACAAAACAAGGAAGGCGCGUCCGAACUUCAAAAUCUUGAACUACUUCUGUUGGCAAUUUAGACCAGCUUUGUAGUAACUCAUACGGUGACACAUAUUUUCUAAUAUAUUCUAUGCUAAAGUUUUUUAAUUCCGCUUCUGUAAACAUGUACAAAGGUUUUUGUGGGUGUUGAUUCAUUAUCAACCUCUUGUGACAACACUCCAUUGUUAUUGAACCGAUUAAUGUUUUUAAACACCAAAUCUACCCACUUUUUCUCUUCAUAUCUGGACAGAAAGAAUAGUCUUUUGUCUUCUUCUUCUGGUGGUGCGUAAAUUGUUCCACUACGCAAGCGCAUCACUCACACUAAGUUUUGAAAAUUUUUUAAACAUAAGUUGUUUAUUUUCGUAUCUACAUUUUAAUGUGGUGAUAGUAUUUUUUAAUAGGUUAAUAUACUUUGUUUUUUCGUAAAAUAAAAUAUUACGCUUUAUAUUUUUAAUGUUUUUAGUAAAGUAGUCGAUACGUGCACUAAGCUGUUUUGCGUGCAUAUUGCUUAUAAUAAGAGGUGAUUAUGUGUUUUAUACCAAACCUUCAAGACACGCCCAUAAACAUUAUGCCCCCACCAUAUAUUUAAACAGACUUGCGCUUACAAAUUAUUUUUUACACACCUAUAAUAACAAACAUUUCCCUCAUUACAAACUUCUCAAGACUUGUUUUUUCACUCAUUUCUGUUUCACAGGUGUUUAAAUUCUUAAUAUAUAACUUUGUAAACAAGAGCUGCUCUCAUCAUGUUUAAUAAAUUUAAUGACGAUGAUCUGGAGGCUCUUAUUAAUGGCCCUAAAUAUAUUAUACAACAAAAGUUUUGCCCUAUUUGUAGAAAAAUGUCUAAAACUAAGCUUCUUCCAAUAGAAUAUCGGUUUCGUGGACAUAAAGUGAUUUUGGAGUCUUGUAGAUUUUGUAAUCAGAUUGGGCCAUUAGCAUUAUCUCAUCGAUAUUUACAUGAUCGUGAAGGAAAUUUAGAGCCUUUACUGGACUCACCAGGGAGUGCUCCAUAUCCCAGCUUCGGGAUAAUGUAAUUAGAUACUAAAAAGUAUAAAUAGCAUUACUUUUUCUGGAUUUGUAUCACAUUAUGUUGUCCACAAAGUUGAUCGUUUUACAAGCAAUUCUGGAAAAUAUGCUCUUAAUCCACCAACCAAUCAACAUUAAAGAA